CAGAGCUGGUGGGGAGACAGCAUGCCACUGGAAAAAUUCGUAGACAUGGAAUUCCUGGAUCAAAUGGAGGAGAUGGAAGAUUGAGAGCAGAGUGCAAGAAUGGGAAGAGGGCUUCGUGCCCUGUGCACGUUUGCCACCUAGUGACCAAACUGAGGUAGAUCGAAGACCUCAGGACCAAGGAGGAAAUGAAAUGUUAAGAAGAUUUGACUGUAACAAAAGGAUGGUGUGCUUCUCACCUCAGCGUGAUAGCCUGACCUUGACUCCUGAGUUCCACGAUCGCUUCACAACUGCAAGUCACCAUCAUACAAAAUUUGAGUUUCCCUAAGUCCGCGCCUUUGAGAGCUUUGGAACGAUAUGCAAGUUCAAGUCACCAUCCUGUUUCUUGCUACCUCCUGUGAGAAGACCAACAUUUGGGUUACACUUGUUUCUACUCUUGUUCUUCUGCUUGUUAUUGUUGCCUCUGCAGCCAUUGAUCACACACGUGUUGUCAUACAAAAACUGGUUAGCCUUUUUAUUUGUCUUGUGAAUUUUAUCAUUUGGUUCUUAAGUAUUACAAAUUAAUAUUGUGUACUCUCAUUGAUAUACAACUUGCAGUCAUUGUAAAUAUGCGUGAGUUAGGGGUGAGAAUGGCAUGCAAGCAAAAGAACAAGGAGAGGGAUGAUAGAGAUGCAAGAAGAGUAAAGAGGGCAAGAAAGUUUAUGUUAAUAGCGAACACAAUGAAAGUUCUUUAAAUGCUUGAUAAUGGUGAAAGCAACACUUCCUAGGGCAUAUUUUUGGUGUUAAUGAACCUACACAUCAUACAAUAAAGAAAAUUGAGAAAGCAGUUGGGGCCAGUGAAUCGGGGGCACACAAGAAUCACUGAGAAAAUCAUACACAACUCAAAAUGCCACAAUAGGGAAAAUAUAAAGAGAUUUGCACUUGUGGCUUCUAAAACAGAGAAGGUUGAAUAGGUCUCUUUCUGUGUGUAAAAUCUGCCAGUGAGCAUCACAAAAAUGCAAAUUUAAAUUUCAAUCUGGAUGGAAAGUUAUAAAAUUCAUUGCAAGUAAUGGGUGGUUGGGUAGGUUUAAGAAAUGCCAGGUGGGUGGAUCACUUGAGGUCUGGAGUUUGCAACUAGCCUGGCCAACAUGGUGAAACCUUGUCUCUACUAAAAAUACAAAAAUUAGCCAGGAUUGGUGGCGGGUACCUGUAAUCUCAGCUACUCAGGAGGCUGAGGCAGGAGAAUCGCUUGAACCUAGGAGGCAGAGGUUGCAGUGAGCUGAGAUCGUGCCAUCGCACUCCAGCCUGGGUGACGAGAGCAAAGCUCUGUCUCAAAAAAA
rnacentral:lncRNA from 1 species